UGUUGAGAUCACACUUAUUACAGCUACAAGCUUACUUAUUUAUAUAGCUGGGUAAGUCAGUGGAGCAAUUUAGGGUAAAUUAUACCUCGCUCCAGUGUACUACAGCUGGAAGUAGGGCUGGAACCUGGAACCUGGAACCUUAGUCUGUGUUGGUCCAAACCAUUAGACUAUCCCCAUUCAGUGCGCUGUGCCCUUGCUAAAGACUCCGAGGCAGCGCGUUUCUACAAACGCAGCAGCUGUUCUGCACAAAUACUCUGUCUGUGUAGGUUGAACAUCAGGCUUUCGAGGGCUGUGUUGCCCACAGUGUCGCUGGGAGGCGCUUCCUCCUCCUGCAGAAUGAGAACGGUUGAUUCUAGCUCUGCUUCUGCUGCUGCUGCUGCUGGCGGCAAAACCUCCGUGGGCGCGCGCUGCAAGCAACAAAUCCGCGCUGGAUGUUCUCCAGAAGACCUUCUGACCUCGGAGAGACUGCCGACGCCUUCUCCGCUCCUGCCCCGCGCGCGACUCUCUAACCGCCGGAGCGCCGAGACGUUUCGCGCGGGUGCGUGCGCGCGCGCCGCUCAAACUCGCGGGAAGCCACGGAUUGACCAUGUGCGCGCGGUAGCGGGAAGAGCGCGCGCGCGCGGCGCUGCCUAACGGACGGCCUCCUCGCACAGUCCCAGGUCCGGGAAUCGUUAAUCGCGAGGCGCUUUUCGUCCCACCCAUGAGUGCACUCUUGAUAUUGCUCUCUUUCGUUUGUGGAAAGCUCUGCGCUCGGCCCCGGGAUCCCAUCGCUAAGAAAAGUGUGAGACAAGAGUGUGUCUGCUGGGGGUCCCACUGCUGCCAGGACGGUCCCUUCAGCUGUGAGCUCUGGAUGUAUUUGUGCGUCGUCAGCUGUGUGGGCGCCCUUCUUCCCAGCACUGAAGCUUCAGGAACUCUGCAGGAGAUCCAGAAACGUCUCAGUGACCAGAGGAAACUGAUUGAACCCUUCAGGUUAUGGGAUCAUAACGGCACUUAUUAUACCCCAAGCUAUGAUGAGAAAUGCGUCAGUGCAUCAAUGGUGUGUUAUAUUCUGGAAUUGGAGGUUGUUGUGUUUGAUGCAAAUGUGGAUUUGGAUAGGAGUUGGUAUGACAUCAAAAACUAUUUUUUAGAUCAGGCCAAGACCUCCAGUGUCUGUCCAGCUUGUGAAAUUUAUGAAGAAAGAAGUGCUACAGUAUUUUUGGACAACUUUGAAAAAUUUUUGAAGAUUUGUGGCGAGAGUAACAAACAAUUGUAAAGCAUUACACUCUUUUAGGUGGGACUGUAAGUUGCUGCUACUGCUUUAUAAUAAGCAGAGAACCUUAAUAGAAUUCUUGUAAUGAAAACAUGCAAUUUUGAUAGUUUUAUAUUAUGUAGCAAAGGCUGUAUACCCGAAAGGUGCUUAAGUAUAUCAUUUAAUAAUGUUUGCCAAGAUGGGUACAGUAACAAGUAACUGUUUUUUCAGUUCAGAUGUGUUGUGUAUGUCUGCGUUUCUAGAAAGUCACAAAUACUCAUGUCAUUAAGGAAUCACACCCAUCGUUGUCAUGGCUUUCGUCCCGGAAGGAAGGGGCGGACUCAAGUGCAGAGUGCACAGGGGUUUAUUCAGACACUAGACAGGAAUCGAAGUCGGGUACAAGCAAGGGUCUUCGGACUGCAAACGAGUUAAACCAGGAAAUCCGGUAUCGGAGUCGGGAAAACAGGCAGUGGGUCAGAACACGAGUGAGCGGAUCGGGUUUCAGGGCGGGAGCGGUCUCAGGAAACGGGCAAAGGGUACAGGGUACAGGGUACAGGGUAGGCUGACUCAGAGCGAGUGAGCGAUCAGCGAACAAGGUUCCGCAACCCUCAUCGUUCGCUUCUGCCUUUUAAGCUAUCGAGCCCUAGGUGUAUCCCAUUAUGCUGAUGACAUGGGCGUGGCAAUCAAUUUAUAUGCACUGACUACAUUCUUAAAAUCUUGUUGUUCUGACCAGCAAAAAUGUUUCUUUCCUCUUUAUUUUUUACGAAAAAUUACAGUGGAUCCUCGCGUUAUGAACAUUCAAGUUGUACAUUUUCUAAUAUGCAGAUGUUCCAGUUUAUUUAUUUUUUAAAUUGUAUUUUCAUCACCAUUCUACUUUAUGAAAUUACUUUCCAUUUCAAAGUGAAAGUGACCUGCUUUGUUGUCUCCGGCCAUUGUUUACUGCCUAACGGCAGGAUAGUGGAACUGCCCUACAGUGCUGUGAAAAAGUAUUUGCCCCCUCCCUGAUUUUUUAUUUUUUUGCAUA
rnacentral:lncRNA from 1 species